AACGAACGCUGGCGGCAGGCUUAACACAUGCAAGUCGAACGGGCGUAGCAAUACGUCAGUGGCAGACGGGUGAGUAACACGUGGGAACCUUCCUAGGGGUACGGAACAACUCAGGGAAACUUGAGCUAAUACCGUAUACGUCCGAGAGGAGAAAGAUUUAUCGCCCUUAGACGGGCCCGCGUCGGAUUAGGUAGUUGGUGGGGUAACGGCCUACCAAGCCGACGAUCCGUAGCUGAUCUGAGAGGAUGAUCAGCCACACUGGGACUGAGACACGGCCCAGACUCCUACGGGAGGCAGCAGUGGGGAAUCUUGGACAAUGGGCGCAAGCCUGAUCCAGCCAUGCCGCGUGAGUGAAGAAGGCCUUAGGGUUGUAAAGCUCUUUUGGCAGGGACGAUAAUGACGGUACCUGCAGAAUAAGCCCCGGCAAACUUCGUGCCAGCCGCCGCAGUAACAC
rnacentral:rRNA from 1 species